GUGCCAGCAGCCGCGGUAAUACGGAGGAUGCGAGCGUUAUCCGGAUUUAUUGGGUUUAAAGGGUGCGCAGGCGGGAUUUUAAGUCAGCGGUGAAAUUUUCAGGCUCAACCUGAACACUGCCGUUGAAACUGGGAUUCUUGAGUAUGGAUGAAGUAGGCGGAAUUCGUUGUGUAGCGGUGACAUGCUUAGAUAUAACGAGGAACUCCGAUUGCGUAGGCAGCUUACUAAGCCAUAACUGACGCUCAAGCACGAAAGCGUGGGGAUCAAACAGGAUUAGAUACCCUGGUAGUCCACGCCGUAAACGAUGAUUACUAGUUGUUUGCGAUAUACCGUAAGUGACUAAGCGAAAGCGAUAAGUAAUCCACCUGGGGAGUACGCCGGCAACGGUGAAACUCAAAGGAAUUGACGG
rnacentral:rRNA from 1 species